GGGUUACUCCUUUGCGCUUUCAGCGCUCAAUUUGAUAAAGAUUCGCACCUCUAUCAAACCGGGUAACCCCGCUUUUCGCAAGGCCCUACUGUCAGAUUAAAUCUGAACUACUACAGCUAAUAUAACCGGUUUGCAAACGGCAAGAACAGCCAUAUCAUCAUCCGCCUAUCCCCUCAGUUUUAUGCAAUCCGCUGCAA
rnacentral:sRNA from 1 species